ensembl:lncRNA
UUCUUUAAACUGUUCCUGUGCAUUUUAUAUAUUUUGGUAUGUAUAUUUUACACACUCACACAAACACACACAGGCACAGGGACACUUGCAAAGAAACACCUGAACAAACACUCUCCAGCUGACCCAGUCAGUGCCUGAUGGGAAUGCUGCUCUGCAGUGAUGAGGGAGUCGCAAGCAAAAGAUGUUCAUCUGUGAUGUUCCAGAACACACACAUCUUGAACACCCCGCUCCGCCUCCGCUCAGCCGGCCCGGCCUCCGGCCUCGCACUCCAACCCGCAGAAGGAGCGCCCCCUUGCGGCCCUCGGAAUCCCAUUGUUCCUGUCCUGGUCCCAGCAGCCCACCGUCGGCGCGCAGCAAUGAGGACCAACUCCUUGGACGCCGCCGUUGAGAAAACGCAACAUCAAGGCCAACCGCUCCUGUACUCAAGCGAAGCCCUGCCUGCAGCGCGAGCACAAUGAUGCCUACCUGCCCUACCCCAGACGCAGACUCGCGAGCCCGAACCGGACCAUGAGCCGCGCCGAACCGGAGCGCUGCGCCUGCGUUGGCGUCGGGCGUCGCGGCCGCGCAACGUCCGGCACGAGAGCGCUCGCUGCACCUCGGCCGGCCUUCCAUGCCACGCCCCCGGGCCAGGCCACGCCCCGGCCCCAGCGACCAUCGAGACUCCGGGACCUCCGCGGUGCCUAGAGGGAUCCCAAAAAACGCCUGCGAGGCCCAGAACAGCCGAAAUAACCCACCCCAGCGGGCCAGCUCUUCCCGCCACUCUCCCUUACCCUUCCACCUCUGUCCUACCUUGGAAACCUUCCUCGCUCCUUCCUAAUCAGGAGAGCAUGGGGACUUUCUAGGGUAGUGGUUCUCAAAUGUGCCACCAAUCUAACAGCAGCUUCACCUGGGAAAUUGAUGGAAAUGCAAAUCUUGGGACCCCACUACAGGCCUACUGAAUAAGAAACUCUGAGGGUGCGCCCAAUAAUCGGCCUUACCAACCCUGAAGGUAAUUGUGGUACAAACUAGGGCUUGAGAACCACUGCUAUAUGGCAGGGUUUCUCAACCUCCACUCUUGACAUUUUGGGCCUGGAUAAUUCUUUGUUCAGAGGGAAGGAGGCUGUCCUGUGCAUUAUAGGAGGCAGGGUCAUGGAUAAAAUACAGUUAAAUUUCAGUUUCAGGUAACAGUGUUGUUCAUCUAAGAUUCACAUUUAACUGGAAAUCCCUGUCUUUCAUCUGGCUACCUUGCCUACCUAUAUUUUUACUUGGUAAAAAUAGAACCCUAAUUGUAGGAUAUUGAGCAUCCCUAGCAACUAAAUUCCAGUAGCACACCACACUCUCUCCACUCUAGUUAUGACAAAUAAAAGUAUCUCCCCCUACUUCUUGAGAAUCACGGCUCUAUAAGGACUUUGUCCAGCUGAAACCCAGUAGCCCAUUAGGUAUAUAGGACAGUGUACUCCACAGAAAACUGCCUUGCCCUGAAAGGCUUUGAACACAGAAAUCCCUGGGACCAAACCCUGUUAACAUUCAAAAAGAGGGCCACUUAGUGAAGAGUUUGUAUUUGCUUCUCCACCCUG